CUUUCAAAAUCACAUUAUUAAUUUAGUAGUCAUUUUUUUUUAUUUUUAGUGAUGUUUACGGUACAUGUAAUGUAUCUUCUUUCAGAUAAUAUUCUUUGUUCGUUCCUUUGAUGGUUCAUUCCACUACAGCUGGUUCAUAUACCCUACAACAGCCAGGAAAUUGGUCUGUUUACUUUAAGAUCUCAAGAAAAUGUAACAUAUUUUGGAUGUGCUUUGAGGAAUCAGGAAGGCAAGUGUUUCCUCUUGUUUAUAAAAGCAACUCAGUUGGUUAAGGGGCAGACAACUUGUGAGCAUGGUACAUCACUACCUGUAUUGGUAUUCCAUUUUGACAAUGCUGCUAGCUAGAAUAGAAAUAACAUAUUGCUGUGGUAUGGUCUGUGGAGAGUUUUACUAGGAUAUCACAGAUCGAUUGAAUAUUCAUCACAGACCAUGCAAAGUUUGAAUCUGACUUGCACUUUUGAAUUUAGAAGAAUCUGUGGAGGAGGGUGAAUGCUGAGACCUUUAAUAAUACAUGAUGUUGCUGACACAGUGUGUCAGUCAUCAAAGAAGUCAUAACAACACAGUUGGUCAGCAAUGAUUUAAAUCCUGUCACAUUCUACCAGUGGAGAAAUAUCUUAUCACAAUAUUGUAAACUUUUGAAGAAGAUAACCAAGUAUUACCACUUUAUCAUGUCUGCAGAAUCACCUGGAUUGUUAGUCUUAAAAGUGACAGUCCAGUUAACUUACUAAAAUCUACUCCCCCUUGCCAAACGAAUAUUAUUGACAUGGAAUGACACAAGCCUGACAAUGGUACCUGUAUGAACUCAUAAGAGAAUAGUAUUUGUCUGAAAAGUCAAAGGAUUCUGUUUGUCCCAAACCACU